AUUGAACGCUGGCGGCGUGCUUAACACAUGCAAGUCGUGCGGUAACAGGCGUAGCAAUACGUGCUGACGAGCGGCGAACGGGUGCGUAAUACAUGGGAAUCUGCCUUUUAGUGGGGAAUAACCCGGCGAAAGCCGGGCUAAUGCCGCAUAAGAUCUUCGGAUGAAAGCGGGGGAUCGUAAGACCUCGCGCUGAUAGAUGAGCCCAUGCCGGAUUAGCAGUUGGUGAGGUAACGGCUCACCAAGGCGACGAUCCGUAGCUGGUCUGAGAGGACGGCCAGCCACACUGGGACUGAGACACGGCCCAGACUCCUACGGGAGGCAGCAGUGGGGAAUAUUGGACAAUGGGGGAAACCCUGAUCCAGCGACGCCGCGUGUGUGAAGAAGGCCUGCGGGUUGUAAAGCACUUUCGGUGGGAACG
rnacentral:rRNA from 1 species